CCAGGGCUCGAGCCGAGGUCUUCAGCAUCGACUUCGACCUUGAUGCUGGUUUCGUUUUAUCGGACUUUUCCUUAGGAUGCAGAGAGGAAGUCACUGAAUUGGGAGCAGGCUGAGGUGGAAUUUGCCACUCUACCGGAGGACCUGGGGACCGUGUGGUCUCCAUAGAAGCCAAGGGAGGAUUGAGAGACUUCUCCCAAAGAAAGAAGACAUUAUCUAAAUGCUGAAAAUUUGAGCUUAAAUUUUAACCCACCAUGUCCUCAAUGAGAAAAAGGAACUCUGAUACUUAACCACCUAAACUCAAUAAGUAUUUGUUCUGACUCCUGUCCUCUGAAGAUGCCGGCCA